CAGAUUCAGAGCCCCAGCCUGUUCAUAAAAAAAAUCAGAUGAAUUUUGUCUGCGGAACAUUCUGCAAAAAUAUCUGACCAGGAAAGAUAAAUAAGAUGCAAAAAGUCACACACACAGGAAAUGAUUAAUACAAUUUUAUGGCAUCAAAAGAUACCAUCGAUAAAGUAAAACACAAGUCACGAACUAGGGGAAAGAAGAUGAGGUAACAUCCAAAAUACAUGAAGAAAUCUUGUAAGUCUAUUAAAAGACUAUACGACCUAACAGAAAGAAGCAGCAAAAGCCAUGAAAAGGAAAAGAAGGACAAAACUAUCUGAAGCCCUGUAAAAAGUCUGAGUCAUUUCUGCUCUAUUUCUUUCCCUACGAAUGGUAAGAGCUGGGGAUUGUGGUAUGUGCCUUUAGUCCUAGCUACUCCGGAGGCUGAGGCAGGAGGAUCACCUGAGCCCAGGACUUUGAGGCCGCUGUAAGCUAUGAUCAUGCCACUGCACUCCAGCUCAGGCAACAGUGAGACCCGGUCUCAACAAACAAAAGAAAAUAAAAGAAUGGUAGACAAGGAAAGCAGUUGAACAGCUAUGCGAGAAGCCUACUUUCUCUUCAUGUAACACGUUGGCCUAAGAGAUCUAUAGAGCUUUUUAAAAACAAAGAAGGCAGCAAGAUUUAAAAUAAUAAAACCAGCAAUAGGUAUUUUUAAAAGUGAGAGAAACUAUCAGAGAGCUGUAGCAGAAAAGCAAGUUAAAAAUAAAGGAAACAGAAAAGGAACUGAUACAGCUGAUUUGAUACUGGAAAAAUCACCCAGGAGGCAGCGUGGACAAUGGAUUGGAGAAG
rnacentral:lncRNA from 10 species